ensembl:lncRNA
GCCAAACAGAACCUUAUUAAACAAUCAAUAAGAUAACAUACACAGAAGUACUUCCCCAUCAGUUUUCUGUGUGAGCCUUUGAUGAUCUUUAAUGUCAAGAAGAUUUCCCAUGCGCCACGGACAGAGCCUCAGCAUCAGACCUGUCUUCAUGGAGAAUGACACUGCAGUCUUGAUGCAAGAGUGGUCCUCUGCCCUUGGCACCCUAUCUGCUAGGAAGCAGCAAAUAUUUCCUGCUCUGAGACCUGAAAUGCCAGCAUAAAAGUCCAACUGUGAUUAAGCUGUACCCUGGAAACAGUAGGAAUUGCUGUCACCUAGCAAGAGUCAUCAGGAUGCUCCAGUCUUCCAUGUACAGAACAGUCAAGUGCACAUCCCAAUUCUCCAGUGGCAUCUAGACUCUCCAAGAGGGACAAUUAUGGAAUUGUCAGUAGUGGGAUGAGGCCUCUCUCCAAAGCAGCUCAGCUUUCUCAGUCCCCAAAGCUCUGCAUUGGACCUCACAAUCCUCUUUGUUCCAACCGAACACCUGGCAGAGAUAUAGUUAAUGAUGCUCCCUUUUGGAGUUUAUUAAUUCCAUAAGCCUCUAUUUGUGAAUGGCUGCAAUAAAGAACAAACAUAAAAGUGAGAAUCGACAGAUGGGGCACUACUCCUUUGAUGUCACACUCAGAUUAAACAGGGUGGGCACUGACUUGUUAGGUGUGCUGCUGGUGGCUAUACUGACAGUUGAGACCUCUCUGGAAGUCUCUGGAGACUUCUCUAUGCUCUCACUAUUAUUCAGAAUCAGGAUUGCCGUUUUGAUGGGGUUGGAGAAAUUCUGUGUAAUUGAAGAACUGGAUAAUGGGAAAAAAGUGAUGGUGCAGAGAUUAAGUGCCAAUGCUACUCAUAUGUUGGAUGGAUGGUCCACAAGGCCUGUGAUUGACUUCCAGAACAUACCUGCUUCUGAGUGUAUUUCUCAGAAGAUGAAAUUUCAGAGAGCUUCUUUUUCUCUGGAGGACUGUGUGACUGUUAAAGACAUCUCAGGCUACUCAAAAAUCAUUAUAUUCAUGUAUGAAUUAUCAAACAAUAAACUUUCAAAAAGAAAAACCUAAACCCCUUAACUAGAAUUUUCCACAGUUUUGACGUAUGAAAAAAGUGUGUGGUGACAAUUUAAAAAUAGAUAGAAUGUGUGCUGUGCUGUAAUCUCAGAAGAUACAAUGGAUUUCCAGGCUGUGGAUGCUGCUUCAGUGGCCAUAGGAAAAGAUUGUCUAGAAUAGUCAGGGGCCUCCACCUCAAAAUGCUGGCUGUAUCACCCUUAUCAAUACUGCAGAGGACCUUGAGAGGAUAUUGAAGACAAAAAUCCAAGUUUGUUAAUGCCCAAUUUUUACCCAAAUAGUAGGUCAGCUAGGACACCAGAACAGAGGCUAUUAUUCUUUUGAUCAACAUUGGUACAUCAGAGUUGGAGAAGCUCCUUGCCAUUUAUGGGCUUUCAUUAUACACUAAGCCUGGUGUCCACUUGAUCUUGGACUUUCUAUACUACGGAACUAUGAGAAUGCUCUCUUGCUUAUAGAUUACUCUGACUCAGAUACUUGUUACAUCAGCAUGAUGGGAUGAGAGGGGAAGGGAAGACGCUGCAUUUGGCUUUAGAGGAUGAUACUGAGUUUGAAAUGAUGAUGGACCAUUUCAGAGAAAGUGUCCACCUUACAACUGGAGAGUAUAGUAAGCAAGCAAAAGAAAAAUGGAGAGAUGGUAAAAAGUAUUGGAGGCUGUACAGAAUAGGCUUGGAGACACUCAUGUGAAGGCAUCAAUCAAGUCACUUUAAUGGACUGUCACAUUAACUUCUCUGAGACAGGAAAACAAGACACCAAAAGGAGCAGUGAGUGGAGGACCAUCUUAGGGAUGACUUACAUGCUUCUAUCCGUGGCUGGGGUCUGGACUUGAUCUUGCUGCUUGACUUCUUGUUCCCAUAUGUCUGAGUUGAGUGCUCUGUCUGGCUGCUCAUUGGGCUCUGUCUUCCCCACCCUCACCUUCUGAUGUGAUGCAGUUCUUCAGCUCACAUCCCAAAGCACCCACAAGCAGGUGGACUGCAGCUGGUGCCUUCCAGCCUUUUCUUCCUAUUAGACAGGCCCUAUUACAGAGUUACAUCAAUAAGAAUAUGAUACUCUGUUCCCAUUUAGAUAAGGACCCUAGGCCGAGCACACCCUAUUAGUUCCAGAAACGUGGACUUCAUCACAGUCUAGAGAUUUCUGCUGUCUUUUAACUCCUGACCAGGUAGAUGGAUUGGAUCCGAAUGCUGGAGUCAGAGUCUUGAUCAUGCAUCCUACCUUUGCUGCAUUCUGCCUCUUACUCCACUCUGCCACACUCCUUUCUUUCCUGUGUCUUCCUCCAUUGACCUACAACUAAAGCCCUGGCAUACUUUCCAGGCUGAGUUAAAAGGAAAAACUAAAGACUCUUGCCCAUGAACUUCCAGACAUAGAAGACUGAGUCUUAACUGGGAUAGUGCAAACAGGUCUGGGCUGUUCUCUCGCUCCCUCUUUUGCUAUAGUGCUUUCAGCAGAGGGACUAGUGCUUCCUUUUGAUGAUGUCCCCCCGACCCCCUGACCCCCGCACUGUCACUUAUGUAGACUUUUGUAAUUUUGUGUCCAUUUAUUUUUGCUUCUGUUAUCUGAACAUUCCUAAAUGCCUGUCAUAAAUGCGGUGGUAACCUAAUUUGGAAAACUAGCUGCCUUUAAAAAUAUAAAGUUACCUUUCCAGAAUGGAAAUAAGAACAAUUAUGUUAUAUUUUCUGAGAAACAAGGUUAUUAAUUAUUGUUGCUAUUAUUAGUUUGGGCUUUUUUAAAAAAGAAAAUAUUCCAGGCAUCUACAGUCAGGGGAGUAACCUGAAAAUAUAAUAGGAAAGCUCAUUUUCCAAUUUUGUUCACAAGCACUAUUGAGAAAUAAAUGCUUAUGAAUCAAAGUUUAAAAUGCAUGAGACUUUAGCAUGUAAACCUUACAUUUUAUAGCUCAGUUUCUUUGUUUCCUGCCAAGUCUUCUGAUCUGUUAUACAGUGCUCCUGAGGCCUUAUAUGCGAUAUGCACAUGCAUGCACACACAGAUGCAAAUAUCUACCUCUUUCUUCAAAUAGUAGUGAAUUGUUUAAUUUUCUGUGACAAGUGUGGUGGCAUAGGACUGUGGUCACCAUGCCCAGAAGGUUGGAGCAGGAGGAUUUUCACACAUUCAGGGCCAAAUUGUGCUACAUAGUUAAUACCAAGCAAUUUUGGGCUAUAUAGCAGGGCCCUAUUUAUUUCCUAAAAUCCAAGGUAAAAUAGUGAUAUAUUUUUUCUCUGUUCAGUAUCUUAGAGGUUCUCCUACUGACAGGAUGCCACAUUACUUUUCAAAGCUAUGAAACAUUCCAUUGUUUGAAUUGUGGGAUUUAUUUA